rnacentral:tRNA from 1 species
GGCUCUGUGGUGCAAUGGACAGCACGUUGGACUUCUAAUUCAAAGGUUUUGGGUUCGAGUCCCACCAGGGUCA